AACCACAGAGACAAAGGCCUUCAGCAAACAGUUUGCUUGGAUAGAAUGAGAAUUAUUUGCAUUUGAAGCACUUCUGCGUGUUUGAAGAGUACAUUAACAAGUAGUUUCUUUGAGGAGACUGUCUGAUGAGAAUAAAACCAAACAAACCGAGAAUUCGGGGAUGAAAAGGAAAAGUAAACAGAAAACGCACAUUAGUAAGAUAAAAAUUAGGUCAAUAAAUCACUAUGUCACUUCGCCCCAGGGAAAGCGUGGCCAACGAAAACACACACACUAAGAUGCUAUCAGCUGAUACGAUGACGGAGGUCCAGGCGCGAGGGCUGGAGGUCUGUUGAACCUGGCCGUAAACUCCCAGGACUCAAUCAUCGGCCAUAAAACAUUACGGCGCGAGAGCCCCGAAGAAAUCUCUCAGAGUCCCAUUAUUUGCUUUGGAGUUAGCGCCGCUGGGGGAAGGAACAUGGGGUGGGGAAACCGAGUUACCUGUGUCACUGCGAAAAGAAAAGAAAAAAAUAAAAUAAAAAUAGAGGCCCUCUCGCUGAAAAACACGUUUGCAGAAACUCAGCUGCUUCAAGCGUCUCUGAUGAAUUACGUUCUGGUCAGCAGGUGAAGACUGCUGAUGAAUACGCUGGUGUAGCUUCUGCCUGCUAAAGAUUAGCCACAGCCCCCCUCUUCUCCCCCGCCAUCUCCCUGUGAUCUACUGUCCCAAGGACUGUAUCAAUCUCUCUAAAAGGGCAACAUUCUGACAUAUUAUAAUGAAUGGCUCAGAUCGGUAUCUGGAGGGCCUGCUGCGGCAGGGCAUUCCUGCAGAGAGAACGUGCUCUUUCUGCGGCGGGGGAUAUCUGCCGGAUCGCUACAUGGGCCGCAAACAUCUGGACGUGGGAGCAGAAAUCAAACUGGACAGCGUAAAAUUGACUUCAUAAGUUGCGUCGGGGGAGACUAAUGGGCCUUGGAUGGGAGGAGAUGUUGGGAGAAUGUAUCUGCAUGCACGCUCCCGUUCUGGGCAGGAACCCGUCCGCAAGCUGCAUGUGGGAGAUAUAAGCCAGGUACAAGAUGUGAAUCAAGAGGAAUGCGAGACAGAAAGAGAGAGAGAGAGAGAACAGAGAGAGGAAUGUCAUUGAUCAAAGUAAAAAGAAAAAAAAAGAAAGAAGUUCAAAACAGUUAGUGGUGCCAUUUUUCCUAUUUUGUUUUUGGUAAUGAAUCCUUCCCUGCUGGUAUCAGUAGCGUAAAACAGUAGCUGUGUUUCCAUUGACUGUAAAAUUGCACAAAUUUGAAUUACAAAAAAAAAUAAUUAAAAAAUCAUCUUUAACGGAAACACAGCAAUUUAAAAGUAAACAACAUUUUUUGAUAACUUUUUGCGCUUUUAUGAAGUGGUUUUUUUAUCCUUCUCAAAAUUAGUGUGUUUUGUAAAACUGAAAUGAAGACACUUUUUUUGCAUCAUAACCAGAUGAAAAGAUGAAGAAGGCAACAGGAAGUGGUAGAAAGAUGAUGGUGUGGGAUGAUUUUUAACAACUUACCAUGUGAACAAACAUAUUUGCCAGUUAUUAUAAUUGUCUCUUAACUGAUGUUGACACCGCAAUCUGCAAAAUUUGUUUUUUUUUUUUUACAUUAGCGGAAUAUCAAAAAAGUUCUGCGCAUGUUUGUUAAAAUAAAAACUAGUGCGUGACCAUUCAGGCGGAACAAGCCAGAAAACCAGAUCCUGAGGAAAGUAUGGGAGUUACAGCCAUGUGAUCGACAACCAGAUGUUACUACUGACGGAGAAGACGAAGACAACAGGAAGUGGUCGUCCGUCAGAAGCCGUGGCCCGGACCUGCCACCCGGCAGGACCUCCACCCCGGCCACACAGAAAAUACGUCUGUGGGAAGCGCCGAGGAUAGCUGUCUGGACGUCACAGUGAGCUGCACUUCGGAGUAAUUUAAGAGCCCCAACUGAAUCCUUUCCCUCUUCCUUGUGCUUUUUUCCCCCUGUCAUCCUCAUCCUGGAUCACACGCUGAAUCAAUAUUUUGUUGCUUCAGCAAAAUAAACCCCAAUAACU